rnacentral:rRNA from 1 species
GUUAAGCGACUAAGCGUACACGGUGGAUGCCCUGGCAGUCAGAGGCGAUGAAGGACGUGCUAAUCUGCGAUAAGCGCCGGUAAGGUGAUAUGAACCGUUAUAACCGGCGAUUUCCGAAUGGGGAAACCCAGUGUGACUCGUCACACUAUCAUUAACUGAAUCCAUAGGUUAAUGAGGCGAACCGGGGGAACUGAAACAUCUAAGUACCCCGAGGAAAAGAAAUCAACCGAGAUUCCCCCAGUAGCGGCGAGCGAACGGGGAGGAGCCCAGAGCCUGAAUCAGCAUGUGUGUUAGUGGAAGCGUCUGGAAA